rnacentral:rRNA from 1 species
UAGGGAAUAUUGGUCAAUGGAUGCAAGUCUGAACCAGCCAUGCCGCGUGCAGGAAGAAGGCCUUCUGGGUUGUAAACUGCUUUUGUCAGGGGAUAAAAAAUUCCUUGCGAGGAAUAUUGAAGGUACCUGGCGAAUAAGCCACGGCUAACUACGUGCCAGCAGCCGCGGUAAUACGUAGGUGGCGAGCGUUGUCCGGAUUUAUUGGGUUUAAAGGGUGCGUAGGCGGUCCUAUAAGUCAGUGGUGAAAUAUCGCAGCUCAACUGUGAGGGUGCCAUUGAUACUGUAGGACUUGAGUGAAUUUGAGGUAGGCGGAAUUGACGGUGUAGCGGUGAAAUGCUUAGAUAUCGUCAAGAACACCGAUAGUGAAGACAGCUUACCAAGCUUCAACUGACGCUGAGGCACGAAAGUGUGGGGAUCAAACAGG